rnacentral:rRNA from 1 species
UAGGGAAUCUUCGGCAAUGGACGAAAGUCUGACCGAGCAACGCCGCGUGAGUGAAGAAGGUUUUCGGAUCGUAAAACUCUGUUGUUAGAGAAGAACAAGGACGUUAGUAACUGAACGUCCCCUGACGGUAUCUAACCAGAAAGCCACGGCUAACUACGUGCCAGCAGCCGCGGUAAUACGUAGGUGGCAAGCGUUGUCCGGAUUUAUUGGGCGUAAAGCGAGCGCAGGCGGUUUCUUAAGUCUGAUGUGAAAGCCCCCGGCUCAACCGGGGAGGGUCAUUGGAAACUGGGAGACUUGAGUGCAGAAGAGGGGAGUGGAAUUCCAUGUGUAGCGGUGAAAUGCGUAGAUAUAUGGAGGAACACCAGUGGCGAAGGCGGCUCUCUGGUCUGUAACUGACGCUGAGGCUCGAAAGCGUGGGUAGCAAACAGG